UUAAUUGAAACCAAAUAAGAGGUAUAUUACUGUUAAUGAUAUCAUUGAAUUAAAAAAUUCCAAUUAAA
rnacentral:tRNA from 1 species